rnacentral:rRNA from 1 species
AUUGAACGCUGGCGGCAGGCCUAACACAUGCAAUUCGAGCGAGCGGCGGACGGGUGAGUAAUGUAUGGGGACUGCCCGAUCGAGGGGGAUAACUACUGGAAACGGUGGCUAAUACCGCAUACUAUCGGAUAACCCAUAUGUGAUUAGCUAGUAGGUGGGGUAAAGGCUCACCUAGGCGACGAUCUCUAGCUGGUCUGAGAGGAUAAUCAGCCACACUGGGACUGAGACACGGCCCAGACUCCUACGGAGGCAGCAGUGGGGAAUAUUGCACAAUGGGCGCAAGCCUGAUGCAGCCAUGCCGCGUGUAUGAAGAGGGCCUUCGGGCUUUAAGGUACUUUCAGCGAGGAGGCGUUACUCGCAGAAGAAGCACCGGCUAACUCCGUGCCAGCAGCCGCGGUAAUAC